ncrna:Rhizobium leguminosarum bv. trifolii WSM597 chrB RNA
GCCAUGGGGUUGCGAUCAUCCCACGAGGCGUCAUGCUGAAGAAUCGCGUCCAGUAACACCGAUCAACGGAGGACGCGUCAUG